rnacentral:rRNA from 1 species
AGUGAACGCUGGCGGUAGGCCUAACACAUGCAAGUCGAACGGCAGCACAGUAAGAGCUUGCUCUUACGGGUGGCGAGUGGCGGACGGGUGAGGAAUACAUCGGAAUCUACUUUUUCGUGGGGGAUAACGUGGGGAAACUUACGCUAAUACCGCAUACGACCUACGGGUGAAAGUAGGGGAUCUUCGGACCUUGCGCGAUUGAAUGAGCCGAUGUCGGAUUAGCUAGUUGGCGGGGUAAAGGCCCACCAAGGCGACGAUCCGUAGCUGGUCUGAGAGGAUGAUCAGCCACACUGGAACUGAGACACGGUCCAGACUCCUACGGGAGGCAGCAGUGGGGAAUAUUGGACAAUGGGCGCAAGCCUGAUCCAGCCAUACCGCGUGGGUGAAGAAGGCCUUCGGGUUGUAAAGCCCUUUUGUUGGGAAAGAAAAGCAGCAGGUUAAUACCCCGCUGUUCUGACGGUACCCAAAGAAUAAGCACCGGCUAACUUCGUG